AAAGUAAAAGUCGUAACAAGGUCUCCGUUGGUGAACCAGCGGAGGGAUCAUUA
rnacentral:rRNA from 2 species